GACGAACGCUGGCGGCGUGCCUAAUACAUGCAAGUCGAGCGGACUUGAUGGAGAGCUUGCUCUCCGGAUGGUUAGCGGCGGACGGGUGAGUAACACGUAGGCAACCUGCCUGCAAGACGGGGAUAACUACCGGAAACGGUAGCUAAUACCGGAUACACAAUUUCCUCGCAUGAGGGAAUUGGGAAAGACGGAGCAAUCUGUCACUUGCAGAUGGGCCUGCGGCGCAUUAGCUAGUUGGUGAGGUAACGGCUCACCAAGGCGACGAUGCGUAGCCGACCUGAGAGGGUGAACGGCCACACUGGGACUGAGACACGGCCCAGACUCCUACGGGAGGCAGCAGUAGGGAAUCUUCCGCAAUGGACGAAAGUCUGACGGAGCAACGCCGCGUGAGUGAUGAAGGUUUUCGGAUCGUAAAGCUCUGUUGCCAGGGAAGAACGUCGGGUAGAGUAACUGCUAUCCGAGUGACGGUACCUGAGAAGAAAGCCCCGGCUAACUACGUGCCAGCAGCCGCCGUAACAC
rnacentral:rRNA from 1 species